CCUACGGGAGGCAGCAGUGAGGAAUAUUGGUCAAUGGCCGGGAGGCUGAACCAGCCAAGUCGCGUGAGGGAAGACGGCCCUACGGGUUGUAAACCUCUUUUGUCAGGGAGCAAGGUGCAGGUCGGGACCUGCUGUGAGAGUACCUGAAGAAAAAGCAUCGGCUAACUCCGUGCCAGCAGCCGCGGUAAUACGGAGGAUGCGAGCGUUAUCCGGAUUUAUUGGGUUUAAAGGGUGCGCAGGCGGAGGCACAAGUCAGCGGUAAAAUCGCGGGGCUCAACCCCGCUCCGCCGUUGAAACUGUGGCCCUUGAGUGCGCGAAGGGUAGGCGGAAUGCGUGGUGUAGCGGUGAAAUGCAGAGAGAUCACGCAGAACUCCGAUCGCGAAGGCAGCCUACCGGCGCGCAACUGACGCUCAUGCACGAAAGCGUGGGUAUCGAACAGGAUUAGAUACCCCAGUAGUC
rnacentral:rRNA from 1 species